ACUUCUUCCCCAGACUGAGACGUGGCGUGUAUUUCCUGGGAAGGACUUUUGACGCUGGCGAAGUACUGGCUUCAGGCAGUAUAAAUUGCUGCAGUUACACGUUAGAUACUUAGUGGAGGAGAAAUGCCGAAAACGCGUUCAGAACUGCAUGUUCAAAAACAGAGUUGGUGGAAAAGCUCAGGUAUUAAUUGAGAAUAAUUUGCAGACCAGGAUCCCAAUGCAAGUUCUCCAUUUAGCAGAGUGAUCAGGAUCUGAGUAUCAUUGACACUUAAAUGCGAAAGGGAAGAGGUUUAACCAUUCUAUCCAUGGGAGAAUAUUCCUGGACUCUUUUAUGACCCCCACAGGACCUUUCGUGAUCUAAUCCAGUAACAGUGUGAGCUGCUACAAUGCACGUGCUUGUGAAAGCGAGAAUAAGAGGACAGAUGAGAUGAGUGCAUGGCUGGAGAUAUAACUUAAAGCGUUUAGAUUCCUGAGGCUUUGAGACUGUUUGUUUCUGGGGAAGGUGGGACAUGCACAAGCUUGAACAAUUGUCCUGGGCAGAGCUGGGACAGAUAUUCUUGUUGAUGCUUUUGCUAGUUCCACUGGUGAGGAUUUAAACUCGGAUGACAGGGGAAUGGGAACCAAAGUAUAGCUUCAGUAGUAAGAGACUCAGAUCAGCAAAUGGGACGUGAAAUUAGUUCAUGAUGUUGUCGGUGGCUGAAAGAUUAAAAGAAAGAAGGAUUAAUCAAGAUCAAAACUCUCUCAUCAUGCAUCAGACCUGAGAACCCAGGAAUUGGUCUGGUGAACCUUCUUUACGAUCAUUCAGUAGCCAGGCCAUCCUUCCUUUGGAAAGGAGAACAAAGGUGCACACGACUCCAGGUGUGGUCUCACCAAGGCCCUUAUAGAAAGAUAUCCCUCUUCCUGUACUCGAAUCCUCUCACAAUGAAGGGCAAAAUAUCAUUUGCAUUCUUCACUACUUGCUGCUGCCUGUUUCCUAAAAGAGAAUAGGAGAGAAACACGGAACUAAAUGGGGUCAGACACCGGGGUAACAUUGUUGAACACACUGUCCCCAUUGUAUCAGUGCUGGUCAUCAAGCACCUAUUUAAGCUAGGCCCGUUUUCUGGCACUCGGUGUGUAACCUAUAUUAUGGUGCAAUGGAUGAUCAUCUCAACACUUCUUCAAGAUUGCAAUGGUUCCUGCAUCUAUCACCAUUUCAGAUGCUGCCAGAUCUGCUGUGGAUCUCCAUCUUUUUCUGUUUUUAUUUCAGAUUUCAGGUAUUUUGCUGUGUAUUCUCAGCCCUUCAGAAGCAUCAGAGGGUAUGGGGAGAAAACAGGAAUUGGAUUCAUUUUCUGAUGUAUAAAAUGCCUGCCCUUCAUGUCUGUCCAAACUCUAUCUCUUUUUUUUGUAGUUUUGGGCAAACGCUGACUGUUUCCCUUCCCUGAAGGACAUUAAAUGAACCAGUUCAGUUUUACUGAUAAUCCAGCAGUGCCCCUCGGUGUUGGAUCCACAAUUGACCAGAUUAAUUUCAGAGUUUCACAAUCUUUGUGUGUAUUCUUCUGGUUUCUCUCUCUCUACUUUUCUGUUUGAAAUUUUGAUUGCAUUCAGAGAAAUCAAACAAAACCACAUCCAGAUCUGACACUCAAUCUGUUUGUCAUAACCUAAUUAUCUCAGGAUUUUGAACAUUGAAGGAAGAAGCACUGUUCACCAGGGAGAAAUGCGUAUUGUCUGUGUGUCGAAGAGUCUGUGAAGAUUCAUCUGAAAUGUCCAAACACCAGCGCAGUCACACUGGGGAGAGACUGUGGAAAUGUGGGGAUUGUGGGAAAGGAUUUAUUUACCCAUCACACCAGAGAGAAAUCAUUCACCUGUUCUGUGUGUGGGAAAGGAUUCACUCAGUCAUCCUCUCUGCUGGAACACCAGCAAGUUCACACUGGGAAAAGACCAUUCAUCUGUUCUGAAUGUGGGAAAGGAUUCACUCGCAAUUCCAAACUAUUGGUACAUCAGCGAGUUCACACUGGAGAGAAACCUUUCACCUGUUCUGAGUGUGGGAAGGGAUUUACUCACUCAUCCAACCUGCUGACACAUCAGCGACUUCAUACUGGAGAGAGACCAUUCAGCUGUUCGGAGUGUGGAAAAGCAUUCACUCAGACAGUUCACCUGCUGACACAUCAGUGAAUUCACACUGGAGAGAAACCGUUCACAUGUUCCGAAUGUGGGAAGGGAUUUGCUCACUCAACCAACCUGCUGAGACACCAGCGAGUUCACUCUGGGGCCAGACCAUUCACUUGUUCUAUGUGUGGAAAGGGAUUCACUCAAUCAUGCAAACUGUUAACACACCAGCAAGUUCACCACAACCACAUUUGAAGGAUUUUGCUUUUAAAUCAAGGAUUGAACUUGGAUCUUUGGGCUGUUUGUACUGGUGUCAUUAGUCCCUGCUCAAAACUUGAUCUUCUCUUGGGAAAUAAGGUAGGGCAGGUGACUGAGAGGUCAGUGGGAGAAAUAUUUUGGGGCCUAUGAUCAUUGUUGUAUUAGUUUUAAAAUAGUUAUGGAGAAGGAUAGACUUGGUCUAAAAGUUAAAGUUUUCAAUGGGACUAAGGCCAAUUUUGACACUAUUAUGCCCCUUAAAAGCACAGUAAGACCGCCUAUGUAUGGGAAUGCACAAGAUGGAUGACAUGCAAAACAAGUAUUUUACAUCGGUAUUUACUGUGGAAAAGAAUAUGAAAGCUAGAGAACUUAGAAAUGAAUGUGUAUCUUGAAAAGUUCCAUAUUAUAGAGGAGGUGGUGCUGGAUGCCUUACAGAGCAUAAAGGUGGAUAAAUCCCCAGGACUACUUCAGGUGUAUUCUCCAACUUUGCGGGAAGUUAGGCUUGCGAUUGGGCCCCUUGCCCAGAUAUUUGCACCAUUGACAGUCAUAGGUGAGCUGUUAGGCUGGAGGUUGGCUAUUCCAGUGCCAUUGUUCAAGAAAGGUGGUAACAUAAAGCCAGGGAACAAUAAACUUUUGGUGAGCCUGAUGUCAGUUAUGGGUAAGUUGUUGGAGGGAAGUCUGAGGGAUAGGAUUUACAUGUAUUUGGAAAGCGUGGACUGAAUGGGGAUAGUCAACAUGUCUUUGUCCAUAGGAAAUUAUGUCUUGAUUGAGUUUUUUUUGAAGAAGUUACAAAGAAAAUUGAUGGCAGACUGGUGGAUGUUUUCGAUAUGGAUUUCAGUAAGUAAAAUUCCGCAUGGUAGACUGAUUAACAAGGUGAGAUCACAUGGAAUCCAGGGAGAGCUGGCCAUUUGGAAAGGCCUUUGGCCUGCAGUAUGCUGCAAGGAUUGGUACUUAGUAACUAUAACUCCUGCAUUCACAUCCAAAUCAUCUUUAUAAAUGACAGAAAUGAGUGGACCCAGCUCUGAUCCUUGUGGCACACCACUGGUCACACACCUCCAAUCUACAAAGCAACCCUCCACCAGCACUCUGUCUCCUACCUUCAAGUCAGAUCUGUAUCCAAAUGACUGGUUCUCUCUGUAUUCCAUGUGAUCUGACCUUGCUAAUCAGUCUACCAUGAGGAACCUUGUCAACUGCCUUACUGACAUCCAUAUAGAACACAUCCACUGCUUUGCCCUAAUCAAUCCUCUUUGUUCCUUCUUCAAAAAAAAUCAAGUUAGUGAGACAUGAUUUCCUACACACACAGCCAUGUUGCCUGUCCCGAAUCAGUCCUUCCCUUUCCAAAUAUUUCAAGUACUAUCCCUCAGGAUUCCCUCCAACGACUUGCCCACCACUAAUAUCAGGCUCACUGGCCUAUAGUUUCCUGGCUUUUCCUUAGCACCUUUCUUAAAUAGUGGCAUCACAUUAGCCAACUUCUGAUCCCUCAUCUGUGGCUAUCGAUGAUACAAAUAUCUCAGCAAGGGGCCCAACAAUCUCUUGCCUAGUUUCCCUCCGAGUUCUCGGAUACACCUGAUCAGGUCCCAGGAAUUUAUCCACUUUUAUGCGUUUUAAGCCGUUCAGCAUCACUACCUCUGAAAUAUGGCUAAUUUUCAAGUUGUUGCUAUUUAUUUCCCCACAGUCUAUAUCUUCCAUAUCCUUUUCUGUAGUAAAUACUGAUGCAUAAUACUUGUUUUAUUAUAUUCCCCAUUUCUUGCAAUUCCACACAUAGGCGGCAUUGCUGCUUUUUAAGGGGCCCUAUUCUCUCCCUAGUUAUCCUUUUGUUCUUAAUCUAUUUGUAGAAUCCUUCUGGAUUUUCCUUAAUACUUUUUGCCGAAGCUACCUCAUGUCCCCUUUUUGCCCUCCUAAUUUCCCUCUUAAGUAUACCAUUGUCAUUAUACUCUUAUAAGGAUUCACUCAAUCUCUGCUGUCUAUACCUGGCAUGUCCUUCCUUUUUCUUGACCAAAACCUUGAUUUCUCUAGUCAUCCAGAAUUCCCUACACCUACCAGCCUUGUCCUUCACCCGAACAGGAAUAUACUGUCCCUGAACACUCAUGUUUUUUUUUUGAAGGCUUCCCAGUUCUGAAUCUUUCCGUUUUACCUGCAAUAUCUGCCCCAAUCAACUUUUGAAAGCUCUUGUGUAAUCCCUUUAAAAUUGGCCUUCCUCCAAUAUAGAGCUUUAACUUUCAGAUCCGGUCUACUCUUUUCCAUCACUAUUUUAAAACUAAUAGAAUUAUGGUCACUGGCCCCAAAGUCCUCCCCCGCUGAUACCCUCGUCACCUGUCCUGCUUUAUUUGUCAAGAGCCGGUCAAGAUUUGCACUUUCUCUAGUCGGUACAUCACAUACUGAAUCAGAACGUUUUCCUGGACACUCGCUCUCAGCAAAUUCCUCUCCAUUCAAGCAUUUUACACCAUGGAAUUCCCAGUCUGUGUUUGGAAAGUUAAAAUCCCUUCCAUAACCACCCUGUUAUUCUUACAGAUAACCGAGAUCUUCUUUCAAAAUUGUUUGUCAGAUUCCUGCUGACUAUUGGGAGGCCUAUAGUAUAAUCCCAAUAAGGUGAUCAUCUCUUUCUUAUUUCUCAGUUCCACCCAAAUAACUUCCCUGGAUGUGUUCUCAGAUAUAUCCCUCCUAAGUGAAGCCAUAAUGUUAUCCUUGUUCAAAAAUGCCACUUUUCACAAAGCACAUUCUUGCUUUGCUUCCCCUCCCGCUUUGACUUUCUAUCCUUUCUAUCGGAUCUAUAAUCUUAGAACAUUAAGCUGGCAUCACUGUCCAUCCUUGAGCCUUGUCUCUGUGAUUGCAAUGAUAACCCAGUUCCAUGUUUCCAACCUUGCCCUGAGUUCAUCUGCCUUAGCUGUUAGGCCUCUGGCAUUGAGAUAAAUGGUGUUUAAUUUAUUAGUCCUUUUGAGUUAAUUUUAAUAACAAUUAUGUAACUGUAGGGUAGGUUUUGAAAAUGAUGAUGUUUUAUUGCUGUAUAUCAACACCUUCACACUGGGUAAAGACAAUCCACCUGCACACUGUGUGAAAAGGGAUUUCCUAGAUCAUUAGGACUGGUUUUCAUAGAAUUCAGAGUAUUCCUACAGUAGGGAAACAGGCCCUUUGGCCCAAGAAUUCCACAGAAAACCUCAGAGCAUGCCACCCAGACACAUCUCCCCGUAGCCCACCUAAUCUACACAUCCCUGAACACUCUGGGCAAUUUAGCUUGGCCAAUCCACCUAACCAACACAUGGGAGGAAACCAGAGCACCCAGAGGAAACCCACGUAGUCACAGGGAGAACAUGCCAACUCCACACACUCAUUUGCCCAAGGGUGGAAUCAAAUCUGGGUCCCUGGCAUUGUGAGCCAGCAGUGCUAACCGCUGAGCCACUGUGGAUAACCACCAAUGAGUUCCCCAGAAUCUGUAGGAAUUUUUUUUGUUGCUCCUAUUAUCUGUAUCCAAGUCAUGUUAUCUGGGCUUGUUUCUCAUGAUGUUUGAAAACACCACGUGUCUGGUUACCUAGUUGGGAGAAAAAAACAAUACAAGUCAACCUUUUAUUAAAACUACUGUGCAUUGCGUCUUCAUCUCAAAAGCAGACUAGUUUAUUUUGAAAGGCUCUCCAUCUCCCCUAACUCCUCCAUCCUCACCUCCCAAGUGUAAGGAACCGGUGGUUUUUAUUUUUCACUCAAUGACAGUCAGUACAUUUCAUGUGAGCAAAUGGGAACAGGGUCAUCCCAUAAUGCUUGAAACUUAGUGUACUAAUGGUACAUUAUUACAGUAAUAACCAUUACAAUUCUUUUCCGAACCUUUCAAGUUUUACAACACCCUUCCUUUAGCAAGAAGACUAGAAUUACACACAGCAGUUACACCUAAACUAGAAUGGGACCUGCAUCCUUGUGGGGGGUGGGGGUGCGUUUCCAGUACUGUUGAGGGCCUUGUAAAUCCCUGAGCAGUGGGCUGAAAUCCAGGGAGAAUGUUCAAAAUAAUAAUAAGGGCCAAAAAGAGAAGAAACGAGAGUCUGGAAGGCCUUGUCACAGGCCAGUUUAAGGUACAAGGGAGUUUGUUAAGGGUGAAUGGUGUUCAGAUGAAUAAGGCAGAUGAUUUGAGGAUACAAAUUAAUGGGGCCAUAAAGACAUUGCUGUCAAUUGGACAUGGUUAGCAGCUCAGUAUUCCAGGUUACAGGGCCUUCAUGCAAGGCAGUGGAGGUGGUAAAGGAGGAGGGGAUAUUGUUAUUUUGUUUAGGGAAUCAAUUACAGCAAUAAGGAGGGCUGGCAUCUUUGAAAACUCCACAAAUAAAUAAGGAGGCAAAUUUUGAGAAAGUGUAAAAGUAGCAGGAUUGUGGUAGCAGGAGCUUUCAAUUUCCUCAGCAUUAAUGGAGUCAUCACAGUGGGAAAGAUUUAUCAGAAUUUUUAAAAUACAUCCAGGACAGCACUUCUUCAACCACUAAGGAGAAGUCCCAACAAGGAAGGGGAAGGUCCUGGACUUGACUUUAGGUUACAAAGUUGAGCAAGUGGUUGAAGUUUCAGUGGGAUUGCAUUUUGCAGGCAGUUAUUAUAACUUUUCGAUUCAGGAUUGUAAGAAAAGGAAAAGGAUGGGCCUUAAGUCCUAAACUGAUGCUGAAGUGAUGAAGGAAGUAAAUGGAAUUUUGGCCUUAAUUGCGAAUUAUUGGUGUUUGAGGAUCGGGACAUCUUGUAACAACUGUAUUGGAUGUUGGUGAAGCCAUACUGGUAUAUUAUUUACAGUUUUGGUGCUUGUAUUUAAGAAGGAUAUGCUGGCGUUGAAUGCAGUGCAAAAAAGAUUCACUAAGCUGAUUCAUGGGAUGAAAGGGUUAGCCUGUCACGAAUAGCUGGAGGAAGGGAAUUUGCAGAGAGGAAAUACUAAAUAAUUAAACAGGUGGUGCCCAGUGUUGGACUUGUACUCAUAACCCUGCACUUAAGCAGCGUAUGUUCUGACAACUGAGCUAACUUGGCCUCCCACAGUCAGUGUUCAAAUCCUGCUUCAUAAGGUGACGAAUGGGUUUUUCACUGAUGCCACUGCAGUCCAAGGAAGUAAAAGGUAAUUGCUUUAGAAAAUCCUAAGGUUCCAAUGUAUUCUUCUCAUUGACAUUGUAAUCCAUUUUCAGUACUUGCUCCAUGAUUUAACAUUCAAAAUUAAUUUCGUGAUGUUGUUUCCCUCCUCUUUAAGCAGCCUGUAUGACGCCAGUCACUCGGUCAAAUGGUGAAUAAAUCUGUUUCAAUAAACCAAUUCUUUUCA